rnacentral:rRNA from 1 species
CCUACGGGGGGCAGCAGUGGGGAAUAUUGCACAAUGGGGGAAACCCUGAUGCAGCGACGCCGCGUGAGUGAAGAAGUAUUUCGGUAUGUAAAGCUCUAUCAGCAGGGAAGAAAAUGACGGUACCUGUUUAAGAAGCCCCGGCUAACUACGUGCCAGCAGCCGCGGUCAUACGUAGGGGGCACGCGUUAUACGGAUGUACUGGGUGUAAAGGGAGCGUAGACGGCAGCACAAGUCUGGAGUGAAAUGCCGGGGCUUAACCCCGGAACUGCUUUGGAAACUGUGCAGCUAGAGUGCAGGAGAGGGAAGUGGAAUUCCAGGUGUAGCGGUGAAAUGCGGAGAGAUUAGGAGGAACACCAGUGGCGAAGGCGGCUUACUGGACUGUAACUGACGUUGAGGCUCGAAAGCGUGGGGAGCAAACAGGAUUAGAUACCCGUGUAGUC